GACGAACGCUGGCGGCGUGCUUAACACAUGCAAGUCGAACGGAAAGGCCCUGCUUUUGGGGGGUGCUCGAGUGGCGAACGGGUGUGUAACACGUGAGUAACCUGCCCUUGACUUUGGUAUAACUUCAGGAAACUGGGGCUAAUACCGGAUAGGAGCUCCUGCUGCAUGGUGGGGGUUGGAAAGUUUCGGCGGUUGGGGAUGGACUCGCGGCUUAUCAGCUUGUUGGUGGGGUAGUGGCUUACCAAGGCUUUGACGGGUAGCCGGCCUGAGAGGGUGACCGGCCACAUUGGGACUGAGAUACGGCCCAGACUCCUACGGGAGGCAGCAGUGGGGAAUAUUGCACAAUGGGCGGAAGCCUGAUGCAGCAACGCCGCGUGCGGGAUGACGGCCUUCGGGUUGUAAACCGCUUUCGCCUGUGACGAAGCGUGAGUGACGGUAAUGGGUAAAGAAGCACCGGCUAACUACGUG
rnacentral:rRNA from 1 species